GAUGAACGCUGGCGGCGUGCCUAAUACAUGCAAGUCGAGCGAACAGAUGAGGAGCUUGCUCCUCUGACGUUAGCGGCGGACGGGUGCGUAACACGUGGAUAACCUACCUAUAAGACUGGGAUAACUUCGGGAAACCGGAGCUAAUACCGGAUAAUAUAUUGAACCGCAUGGUUCAAUAGUGAAAGACGGUUUUGCUGUCACUUAUAGAUGGAUCCGCGCCGCAUUAGCUAGUUGGUAAGGUAACGGCUUACCAAGGCAACGAUGCGUAGCCGACCUGAGAGGGUGAUCGGCCACACUGGAACUGAGACACGGUCCAGACUCCUACGGGAGGCAGCAGUAGGGAAUCUUCCGCAAUGGGCGAAAGCCUGACGGAGCAAAGCCGCGUGAGUGAUGAAGGUCUUCGGAUCGUAAAACUCUGUUAUUAGGGAAGAACAAAUGUGUAAGUAACUAUGCACGUCUUGACGGUACCUAAUCAGAAAGCCACGGCUAACUACGUG
rnacentral:rRNA from 1 species